UCCCGUGUGGCUCAGUUGGUAGAGCAUGGCACUUGCAACGCCAUGGUUGUGGGUUUGAUUCCCACAGGGGAC
rnacentral:tRNA from 1 species